UACGAAGGGAGCUAGCGUUGCUCGGAAUCACUGGGCGUAAAGGGUGCGUAGGCGGGUCUUUAAGUCAGGGGUGAAAUCCUGGAGCUCAACUCCAGAACUGCCUUUGAUACUGAAGAUCUUGAGUUCGGGAGAGGUGAGUGGAACUGCGAGUGUAGAGGUGAAAUUCGUAGAUAUUCGCAAGAACACCAGUGGCGAAGGCGGCUCACUGGCCCGAUACUGACGCUGAGGCACGAAAGCGUGGGGAGCAACAGG
rnacentral:rRNA from 1 species